rnacentral:rRNA from 1 species
GAUGAACGCUAGCGAUAGGCUUAACACAUGCAAGUCGAGGGGCAGCAUGGUCUUAGCUUGCUAAGGCUGAUGGCAACCGGCGCACGGGUGCGUAACGCGUAUGCAACUUGCCUCACAGAGGGGGAUAACCCGUCGAAAGACGGACUAAUACCGCGUACACUCUAUGUUGGGCAUCCAAUGUAGAGGAAAUGAAAUUCGCUGUGAGAUAGGCAUGCGUCCCAUUAGCUAGUUGGUGAGGUAACGGCUCACCAAGGCGACGAUGGGUAGGGGAACUGAGAGGUUGAACCCCCACACUGGUACUGAGACACGGACCAGACUCCUACGGGAGGCAGCAGUGAGGAAUAUUGGUCAAUGGGCGAGAGCCUGAACCAGCCAAGUCGCGUGAAGGAUGACUGUCUUAUGGAUUGUAAACUUCUUUUAUACGGGAAUAACAAGAGCCACGUGUGGCUCCCUGCAUGUACCGUAUGAAUAAGCAUCGGCUAACUCCGUG